rnacentral:tRNA from 1 species
UCCCUGACAGUCCAGUGGUUAGGACUCCACACUUUCACUGUACAGGGUGUGGGUUCAAUUUCUAGUCGGGGAA